CAGGCGAAUAUAUAAACGGCGAUCGGGCGAUGCAAAAUGUUCAUUCCGCCGCCGUUCGUUCCGUUCGCUUUACUUUUCGUACUUUUCUCGCAUAUAAAAAAGUCAAACAAAAUAAUAAAAUGAAGCGAUCGCACAUAUAUAUGUAGAUGUAUAGUAUAUAUAUAUAUAAACGCACGCACACCAACAAACUCACGCAAUGGCCGCCAAUGACGCCAACUGCGCUGCCGACGUCGCUGCCGAGAGUAUAAAAGCAUAAAAUCACUUCGUACUCGGGUUUAUUAAAACCAAAACUGUGCAAGUGUCGAGAUCGAUGGUAGCCGCAAAGAAAAAAAACACCAGGACCUUUACAAAAAAAAAAACUCAAAAACAAAAGUUCUCGUGAAAUUCACAAUAAAAUUCUGACUGCAAAGUGAAAGUUGGGAAAUUAAAACACAAAUAAAUUCCACAUCAAAACGAUCAAAAAUAGUAUCAAACAACCAGCGCAAAAAAAACAUACAAAAAGAAAAAAAAUCAAGAACGCGACGCGCCAGCAAAAAGCGAGAAAAAAAGAAAAUCGAAAGUGUUCUACUGACAUGGAUUACUUUUUGCCCCCCAAAACUACAAACACAACAAAAAGAGAAGAGAAACUAGCGCUAGUUUGGUCUAUUCAGAGUUGCGGAGAGUAAGAAUCGGAGAGCGAAAGGCCGGUCGAAAAUAGAAAGCACUACACUGAAAAAUCUGGUUUAAUUUUGGAAUUACCCUCCGGAUUGCUUAUUUUCGGCUGCUUGGAUUUAUUGGUUAAUAAAUUAUAAAUGUAUAUCUGAAUAAAAAAAGGCGUUUCUCUGA